GGGGCUAUAGUUCAGCUGGGAGAAUGUUUGCAUGGCAUGCAAAAGGUCGGCGGUUCAAUCCCGCCUAGCUCCACCA
rnacentral:tRNA from 1 species